AUAACAAUACAGUACUCUUUAGAGGCCCUGUAAUUGUAAUGAGUUCACUUGAAAUCCUUUAACUAGGAUCUAUUGGAGGGCAAGUCUGGUGCAGAGCGGCUGACCCGGGCGUGCUGCAGCUGAAA
rnacentral:rRNA from 1 species